UGUGCUUUCAGGAUAAUUCAUAAGAAUAUGCAGUUUACAUGCAGGUGCUAAAAAUAAAGCCUCUUUUGCAACCCAGAACUCAUUGCUCAGUAUGAGUUUUGAUACAUAUAAGAAGGAACAUU